rnacentral:rRNA from 1 species
UACGGGGGGGGCAAGCGUUGUUCGGAAUUACUGGGCGUAAAGGGCUCGUAGGCGGCCAACUAAGUCAGACGUGAAAUCCCUCGGCUUAACCGGGGAACUGCGUCUGAUACUGGAUGGCUUGAGUUUGGGAGAGGGAUGCGGAAUUCCAGGUGUAGCGGUGAAAUGCGUAGAUAUCUGGAGGAACACCGGUGGCGAAAGCGGCUCACUGGACCAUUACUGACGCUGAUGCACGAAAGCUAGGGGAGCAAACAGG